GAUUAUGGAAGAAUGUGUGCAAUUCAAUGCACCUGUAAUAGCUUUGUUAAAAAGCGCCAGAUGUCGCUUCCGUAGUUAGUGAAAAGAUCGCGAAAGUGCAAGUCGGAAUUUGCAAGCCCGAGUGUGAUUUAAUUAAAAAAAAGAGAUAUAAAGCAUAUAAAAAACAGAUUCCAAACAUUGUACAGAUUAACGUGUGAUGGGACUACGAAAAAAAGUUUAUUCGGUUUAGAGAACAUGCGCCGCACAAAUCGAGCCGUGAAGUAAUAUAUGAUCUCAGUGAAGCUCAAAGCACUGCAGCCCAGAAAGAACCCCACCAGGCCGCCA